rfam:Pseudozyma hubeiensis SY62 DNA, scaffold: PHS58.
GUCUUUGUGGCCUAGUUGGUUAGGGCGUAGGUCUCAUACCAACGAUCCUGCAUCGCAGGAGUCAACCUACAAGCAAGCGAUUGCUUAGAAAUCCUAAGAUCACGAGUUCGACUCUCGUCAAGGACA